rnacentral:rRNA from 1 species
AGCGGCGGACGGGUGAGUAACACGGGGGCAACCUGCCUGUAAGACUGGGAUAACUUCGGGAAACCGGAGCUAAUACCGGAUAAUCCUUUUCCUCUCAUGAGGAAAAGCUGAAAGACGGUUUCGGCUGUCACUUACAGAUGGGCCCGCGGCGCAUUAGCUAGUUGGUGAGGUAACGGCUCACCAAGGCGACGAUGCGUAGCCGACCUGAGAGGGUGAUCGGCCACACUGGGACUGAGACACGGCCCAGACUCCUACGGGAGGCAGCAGUAGGGAAUCUUCCGCAAUGGACGAAAGUCUGACGGAGCAACGCCGCGUGAGCGAAGAAGGCCUUCGGGUCGUAAAGCUCUGUUGUUAGGGAAGAACAAGUAUCGGAGUAACUGCCGGUACCUUGACGGUACCUAACCAGAAAGCCACGGCUAACUACGUGCCAGCAGCCGCGGUAAUACGUAGGUGGCAAGCGUUGUCCGGAAUUAUUGGGCGUAAAGCGCGCGCAGGCGGUUCCUUAAGUCUGAUGUGAAAGCCCCCGGCUCAACCGGGGAGGGUCAUUGGAAACUGGGGAACUUGAGUGCAGAAGAGAAGAGCGGAAUUCCACGUGUAGCGGUGAAAUGCGUAGAGAUGUGGAGGAACACCAGUGGCGAAGGCGGCUCUUUGGUCUGUAACUGACGCUGAGGCGCGAAAGCGUGGGGAGCGAACAGGAUUAGAUACCCUGGUAGUCCACGCC